CCCUUAGGUGUUCUGGGCCGCACGCGCGCUACACUGAUGAAUGCAACGAGCUCUACCCUUGACCGAAAGGCCCGGGUAAACUUGUGAAACUUCAUCGUGAUGGGGAUAGAUUAUUGCAAUUAUUAAUCUUCAACGAGGAAUUCCUAGUAAGCGCGAGUCAUCAGCUCGCGUUGAUUACGUCCCUGCCCUUUGUACACACCGCCCGUCGCUCCUACCGAUUGAAUGGUCCGGUGAAAUCUUCGGAUUGCUGACCAAGAUCCAGCAAUGGAGCUUGGUUGCGAGAAGUUGAUUAAACCUUAUUAUUUAGAGGAAGGAGAAGUCGUAACA
rnacentral:rRNA from 1 species